rnacentral:misc_RNA from 1 species
UUAAGUUCAGCGGGUAGUCCUACCUGAUUUGAGGUCAAAUCGUCAAGUCAUUUGUCUCAAAGUCGAGACAGCUAUGAGCAGAGCACAUGCUCGUCUGUAACUCGGUAAGACAAUUAUCAAUACCAAGUCGCAGUCUCGCACAGAGGGUCCUGCUAAUACAUUUCAGAAGAGCUGACCACAGAAGGCCAGCAGCUCCCACA